rnacentral:rRNA from 1 species
AUUGAACGCUGGCGGCAGGCCUAACACAUGCAAGUCGAACGGUAGCACAGGAGAGCUUGCUCUCUGGGUGACGAGUGGCGGACGGGUGAGUAAUGCAUGGGGAGCUGCCCAAUCGAGGGGGAUACCAGCUGGAAACGGCUGCUAAUACCGCAUACGCCCUGAGGGGGAAAGGUGGGGACCUUCGGGCCUACCGCGAUUGGAUGCACCCAUGUGGGAUUAGCUAGUUGGUGAGGUAACGGCUCACCAAGGCGACGAUCUCUAGCUGGUCUGAGAGGAUGACCAGCCACACUGGAACUGAGACACGGUCCAGACUCCUACGGGAGGCAGCAGUGGGGAAUAUUGCACAAUGGGGGGAAACCCUGAUGCAGCCAUGCCGCGUGUGUGAAGAAGGCCUGGUGUAAGCACUUCUAGUGGGAGGGAAGGGAAGUGGAU